ACUGCCCGCCCCCUCCAGCGGGGAGGGGGUGCCGGAGCCGCCGGGGCCGCGCCCGGGCCCUGCCGGGGAGGAGCCAGGCGGGGGGGCGCUCCCUCAGUAUCCUUACUGAGCUGUGAAUUUGAAUGAGGAAAAAUGGUCUAUUCCCAGACUUCCAUAUCCAGGGGAAAUGAAGACCUUGUUGUGAGUCAGCGGUGGCCUCUCUAAGCUGGGUUACUGAACCAAUCUACAUGAGGAUGUUAUGCAGCUGCACUACUGUGUCCUGCGGAAUGGGAGAUAAUACUGUGAAUUGGAAAAGAUGCUGAGAUCAAAUCUCCUUUGACCUCUUGACAACUGUAAGAAAUACCUGUCUAAGCAUUGGAUGACUCUACUGUAACUUACUGCCAGGGGAGACUGAAGUACGAUCAUUUUUGAAGAGUGCAAAGGAAAUGGAUGGGAGACAUGUUUGGUGUUCCUAAUCAUCAGUGACGUGUUUUAUAGAGAUCCACUUCUGUAAAGACUUCUGUGCUGGGUGAAGUACAAGCAAAGAGGAAAAUGCAAAUUUUCUCCAAUUGCUUUUUAAAAAAGCCGAACAUUUGUGAAAGCAGCUGGUCCCAGAGGUGGAAUGUUCCAAAACCCCAUUUGGAGCCAAGUACAUGCGUUAUGGAGUCAGUCGUGACACCAAUUUAUAGAGAACAGACAAUGAGUUUUGGAUCUUUUCUCUAAUGAAAAAGAAGCAGUGCGGGUUAGCAAUUUGACCUUUCUGUGGCACGUAUUCCUACCUUGGAUACCGUAGAGAACCCAGAAAGAUCUCCCUCAAGGUGAGCGUAAUGCUGCAUGCCAGAACCGAGAAGGACUCGCGCUCUGUUCUCCUGUCCCCGCUGCCCUCAUCUGCAUGCUGAGGAGGAAGUCAGCUGCUGCUUUACCUAAAUGAGGCAGCCCCAACACAGGGCCUGGAAGGAACAGAAGCCAGCAUGCAUCUGGCUGGAAGGGAAGAGAAGGAUCAGACCUAGCGCUGUAAGCCUGGAGGGACAAAUCCUCAAGGAUGGGCAAGGGGCCAGGUGAUACUGUUAAAAAUACAGUGGAUCUCUCCUGAAAAUGAAACAGCC